CCAGAAAAACUACAGAAACGAAGAAGAGAAAAAAAAAGAAAGAAAAAAUAAAAAGGAAAGUGGAAAUUUGAAAACGGGAAUACACUGAGGCUGUUCAUCUGCAGAUACAGCGUGUUCUUGGAGUUGUCUCUGGAGAUGGUGAAUCGGCCCUUCACGGAGUCUGCGUAGCCUGUGCUACCUCCA